CAGCAGCCGCGGUAACACGUAGGGUGCGAGCGUUAAUCGGAAUUACUGGGCGUAAAGCGUGCGCAGGCGGUUAUAUAAGACAGAUGUGAAAUCCCCGGGCUCAACCUGGGACCUGCAUUUGUGACUGUAUAGCUAGAGUACGGUAGAGGGGGAUGGAAUUCCGCGUGUAGCAGUGAAAUGCGUAGAUAUGCGGAGGAACACCGAUGGCGAAGGCAAUCCCCUGGACCUGUACUGACGCUCAUGCACGAAAGCGUGGGGAGCAAACAGGAUUAGAUACCCGCGUAGUCCCUGUCUCUUAUAC
rnacentral:rRNA from 1 species